rnacentral:tRNA from 1 species
GGGGAUUUAGCUCAGUGGUAGAGCGCUUGCCUAGCAAGCAUGAGGCCCUAGGUUUGGUCCUCA